rnacentral:rRNA from 1 species
AUUGAACGCUGGCGGCAUGCUUUACACAUGCAAGUCGAACGGUAACAGGCCUUCGGGUGCUGACGAGUGGCGAACGGGUGAGUAAUGCAUCGGAACGUGCCCAGAGGUGGGGGAUAACGCAGCGAAAGCUGUGCUAAUACCGCAUGUGAUCUGAGGGUGAAAGCGGGGGACCAGGCAGCAAUGUUUGGCCUCGCGCCUUUGGAGCGGCCGAUGUCAGAUUAGGUAGUUGGUGGGGUAAAGGCCUACCAAGCCGACGAUCUGUAGCUGGUCUGAGAGGACGACCAGCCACACUGGGACUGAGACACGGCCCAGACUCCUACGGGAGGCAGCAGUGGGGAAUUUUGGACAAUGGGCGCAAGCCUGAUCCAGCAAUGCCGCGUGCGGGAAGAAGGCCUUCGGGUUGUAAACCGCUUUUGUACGGAACGAAAAGGCUCUGGCUAAUACCUGGGGCUGAUGACGGUACCGUAAGAAUAAGCACCGGCUAACUACGUG